UGUCAUUUCUGAUUCUCUUCCAACCAAGGAAGGAAAUGAUCAAGAUAUCCCUAACAUUCAGCUCUUAGAAUCUUAUAUCUAACAAUCCCAGGGGCUCUUGUAAUUAGAGUCUCAUGUUCACUAGCUGGCUCAGGCCCGGGAUAAUGAUGACACUAGUGGUAGUCUCCCAACCCUUCCUUCAUGUCUGAAAUAGAUACAGAAUAAUUUCAUGUCAUUUCGUAGCCCGGGAGAGAGCUAUUAUCAAUCCUGUUCACAAAGGAAAAGUGAAAAUUUCCUCCCAGGAAAUGCUUAAUGGAAAGCAAAAGAAUACUGCAGCAAAAUUUCCUUCUCGGUGGAGAACUUCUUCCACGUUGAGGCAUGUCAGCCUAUCAAUAAGUAUGGCAACAUGUGACUUUAUUCCAUAAUCUCCACUGCAACUCCUUAUGGCUAAUCAUGUGUUUCAUCUGGGAGAAAUUUACUGAACAGAUAUUUUGUGUGAGGUUGUGAAACAAGUGGUAUGAGAAAUACAGUGGUAUAAUAAAAAUACAUCAAAAUUGCAUAGUACUUUAAAUUUACAAAGUACAGGACACAUUAUAGACUUUGAACUUCAAAAGAGUCUUGUUCAACCCAAUCAUAUGUCAAUAAACUCACAAAGGUAUCCAGGCCCUCCUUCCCUUUCUUUGCCAUGGUUAUAGCAAAUUCUAACACUUAAGUUUCUGCAUCUAAAGCCAGCCUUACCAGAAAAUAAGUCAUUACUUGCCCAGGAAUAAUUUAAGAAGUUCUAGAAAGAUCUCACAGCCAAAAACACCUACCUUCCUCCCCUAUAUCUGAAAUUCCAACAUUUGAGUUUCUUCCUUUCUUGAUAUCCUGUUGGGAGGAGUAAGAGAAAAUUCUUAGAACUUAAUGAAUUUAUCAGCUGCUUCCUUAACCCGAGGAGCAUGGGAGAAGGACAGCAGGAUCAGUGAAUGCCUGAAGGAGAAUGAAGAAAGAGAUGCUGGGGAGCCUGGAAAACAAACUUCCCCAUCUCCACAUCAUACUUAAGGUCAGUGCUGAGCACUGCCACAUUUUUGCUUUGGGUAAAGGGAUCCUAUGCUCGAAAUGUCCAAAACCAGACUUAAUUCCACUCCUUCUGUCUCAGUAAGCUCCAUAAGUCUGCUAACUUUCACUUGCUUGACAUAUUUUGUUUAUGUUCUUAAACUUCCUGAGUAAGAAUUACAUAUAAAUAUCUCCGAGGUGAAAAAAAUAUUUCUCAACCAGGACCUAUUGGCAUUUUGGAUGGGACAACUCUUCCUCCUGCUGGACAUUUUCCCUCUCACCCCUACCUCAGCAAUUGAAAGUUACAUAGCCCCAGUCAUUGUGACCAUCAAAAAUGCUCCCACGCUCUUCCAAGUGGUCACCGGAAUGGUGGUAGUGGCAUGGGUUCAGAGUUGCUCAUUUUGCAUCCUGAGCUAGCAAGACACAAAAGGCUCACAGCUGUCUUAUAGAGGCAUUUUUUUCUGCAGAACUUUGAAAAUGAAGUUGUCAUCUUAUCCUGCCACUGUCAUUAACAAAGGAAAAAUUUUAAACUAUCAAACCAAGUGAUGCACUUCUACAAGAAAUAAACCAGGAGUCCCUCACCUCCCUUCUUGCAAGAGCUUUAAACAUCACAUAUAUUCUCUUAAGCCUUCCCUGAAUUGAAUCGUUCUCAAUAAAACUCCAAAAUACUUUUAAAUUUAUUUUGAAAGCUUUGAGGAGAAUUAUCGAAGUAGUGAUAUCUGAGACAUUACUCAAUGUAACUUGGACUUGCCCUCAGUCAAGGAAGUUAUGUCUACAGGAGGAACAUUUCACUAUCCCCCAGGGGGCGCCAUAACCCCUUCACAAGUCUAACAACCCUCCGUUCUGUGGUUAGGCUGGCCUGUAGCUCAGUUCCAUUAUCACCAUGUUGGUAGCAAAGAAUAACUAUCCAGUGUGAUUGCCUGCAGACAACCAAGCCAAUUCUGGUAACCCCACGGCACUUCAGCUGCACAGAGGUCUCAUAAUCAAUCCUCCUUGGCUCUCUUCCCCCAACAGUUUGAUUAUCUUUGGCCAUGAGUGAUUUCAAGGUGAAUCAAACCAACCAAAUGAUGAAUCCCAAAUUAACCCAAUUUCCAAGGUGUUAAGCAUUCCUUUGCAAGGGUUCCUGAGCACUUCCAUUCAUUCAGACACUCAGUGCCUGUGUUCAUCUCACCAAGAAAGAAUCUGUAUUGUGUUUCUCCAGUUACCCAAGGCUAAGCAAUAAUUUGAGAUAUUCCAAGCCUAAAUACUGAAACAUUGCUUUCAGGCAGUACAAGGUUUUAUUCUCACCUUGCCGGGAACAGAUAAGAGACAAUCUCUUCUUUACUCUUCCAGUUGGUACCAAUUUUAAUUUUGUGUGUGUGUGAGCUUUGUAAAUUUUAAAGACAGACCCAGAACUACCACUCUUGGAUAUAUAUCCAAAAGAAAUAAGUAUUCAGACAGCCCUGCUUUGUACACUGUCCACAAAAAUACUGUAUAAGAAUAUUUAAAUCAGCUUUUUUCACAGUAGGCAAGAACCACAGAAAAAUCCAUCAGCAAGUGACUAGAUAAACAAACUGUGGUACAUCCAUACAAUUGGGUACUACCUAGCAAUAAUAAGGAAUGAACUGUGUUACGUGGAGCAAAAGAAGCCAGAUUUUAAAAAGAGUACAUCUUUUUAGAUGAAUUUCAAGAACAGGUGAAUCUGUAAUGUUAGAAAUCAGAAGACUGUUUACCUCUGGAAGAAGGUGUUAUUUGGGAAGGAGCACAGGGAACUUUUUUCUGUAUUUUUGAGUGGUAGUUAUAUGAGUGUAUAGAUAAAAAUUCAUCAUACUUUACUCAUAAUAUUUGUGCAUUUUCCUGUAGGUAAAUUAUUCCUCAAUUUAAAAAAUUCCAGGGCAACUGUAAAAUAAUACAGUUAGAAGCCUCAGUGAAGCAUUUCUCUUGUAUGCAAUAAUUACGUGUGAUGCCCAAUGUUUAUACUAAUAUUUGUCACCUAUGUCAUAUGUUACAAAAUCAUAUUUUUAUGCUUUCCUCUAAAUUAUGUAAUUGAACAGGGCUGUUUGAGCCAGGGCAGCAUCCAGGAGAGGAAGCAAACGUCCCCAGGUCAGUGAGUGGUUUCAGUUUAAAAUUGGAUUUGCUAAGGAGGCACUUCUUCCUUAUCCUCAAAACCUUGCCAGGAAUCUUCGAGACAGGCCUCCUUUUAUGAGGCCUACUAAACUCUACAGUGACUGUUGGAGCAAUAAUUGCCCUAUGCCCCAAAUUUCUUCCUUUUCACAUUCGGUCUUUGCUUGUGUGAAUAAUUUAUGACAAGUCUGGUUUAGAAAACAAACACACAGGUUCUACCUGAUUGAAUGCCCCUUUCAGCCUUUCAAAAUGUAAUAAAGCAAUUCAGUGAUCUAAAAUUGUUUUCUAGAGCAAACGUUUAAUUACUGCACAAUUACCUAGAUCCUGCAUCUGAACUGGCACUUGCUAACUCUAUAGCAAGAAUAAUUUGAAAAUAUUAACUCUUCACAAAAUCAUAUUCCAGUCCCAUACAACAACACAGGGCACUUCUUGCCUGUGUAUCACAUUCUUUUAUCACAGUAAAACAAAUUAGAAUUUCAAAGGAAGCUAUUGCACCAUUGCUUACAGGGUUUUUGUUUCUCAACAGGCUAAGAAUUUGAUGAAAGCUUGAUUUAUUAUUGCAUGUCAGAGUUCAAGGCCACUAGCUGAGCUCGGCAGAGGCAAACCCACCAACAAGCUAGGCUGAAUAAAGGACACUCUAGUAAUCCUUUAUAUUUUAUCAAAACAUGAAUGCAUUGAGCACAUAAGUUGCCACUGCAGAACCUGAAGAAUUUUUAAUUCAUACCUCUUUAUAAGUCAUUUGAACAUAUAAAUUGAAGGAUAAAAUUGGAAAGCAAUGCCUUCUUGAGGAGUUAGAACCAGAAAAAUCAACAAUAUGAGAUCUUCAAGGCCAAUCUCAUAUACUUACAAACCUGUUGCUGACCCCAUGACUGACUUCUCAGGUUUGUUGAAGUUCUGUCUUACACGGGAUACUCUAAGAGCAUACCCUGACAGUCCAGUUUAUAUGUAAGUGAUUGAUCAAGGAAGAGCUUCCAGGAGAAACCAGUAAGGAUAAGAGGGAAGCAGGACAGAGAUGAGGAGGAAGCCUAACAAGGGUAUUAUCUCAGGCAUCUGGGGAUCUCAGCUCAUGUGGGUCCCCAGGGAACCCUGGAAUGUAAAUCCCACCUUGAGGCAAGAGAGCACCAGUCACCCACGAGCUAAUGGAUUUGGGGUGGAGGUAGGAGGAGAGAAACUCCCAAAACCUUUGAGUUCUCUCCUGGUGUCUGAAAGCUGGCUUCAGUAAUCCAAGGACGGGUCCUUAAAGAAAGAUGAAGGCAGUUGUGUACUGGCAAAUGCUUAACAACUGCUUGGGGUUAGCCUUGAUUUGUGGCAUUUGCCAAUUUCUGUGGUGUAAAUAUUCCCAUUGUGACCAAUGUCAAACUACCAAGUUGAUCUCACAGAACAUGAGGACUUGGAAAGAGAUACACAGUAGCACACUCCACUGAGUAGUAUUUCUACUACACAGAUACAAUGUGUAAGAAUAAACCUAAGAGCAUAGCUAAUAGCAAUAUGUAGUAAAAUAAUUAGAAAGUGAGGAGUUGUAUUGUUUUGAGUAAUAUGAUUUAUUUUAUUGUAAGUUUAUAUAGUCACUUCUCAUUAUCCAUGCUAGUUGUGUUCUGUAAAGUUGAUGCAAACAUUGAAUUAGCAAAUAUUAAAUCAUUGCAUCUGGAGAAAAUAUGGGGUUAGGUGCCUCCAAGCCUCUGGUUAAAACAUUUUGUAAACUAAGUGAUGCAUAACUUUGUUUUAUGUGUGUUUCUGUUUAAAGACACCUCAUUUAAUGUAAAUUUCUGAUUCAAUAACAGUGAAUGACCAGCAGAACUAACUCAGGCCCAAGCAAAGCUUAUCUAACACAUGUAUUUUCUCUGUAAAGCACAUCACAGCCUUUGUUGUUCUCAGGAAUAUUAGACAGAACUUCAGCACUACACUUAGCCAUUUUAAACAGUAAAAUCACUCAC
rnacentral:lncRNA from 1 species